UACAAAGGGUGCAAGCGUUACUCGGAAUUACUGGGCGUAAAGCGUGCGUAGGUGGUUUGUUAAGUCUGUUGUGAAAGCCCCGGGCUCAACCUGGGAAUGGCAAUGGAUACUGGCAAGCUAGAGUGCGGUAGAGGGUAGUGGAAUUCCCGGUGUAGCGGUGAAAUGCGUAGAGAUCGGGAGGAACACCAGUGGCGAAGGCGGCUACCUGGACCAGCACUGACACUGAGGCACGAAAGCGUGGGGAGCAAACAGG
rnacentral:rRNA from 1 species